UUCACCAAUUUUGAUAAGUUUUUAAUGCAUGCUGAUAUGACAGCUGUCACAAUAGAAUCUAACAAAAUUGUUCUGAACAAUGUUAAAGACAACUAAGCACUAACUAGAGCCAUCUUAUGGGAAAAAAACAAAUGAACUUUUGGACCAACCCAACAUUUUUAAAUGAAGAAAGCAAGGAUUAUAAAAGCAUUUAGAAAAUGUCAAUUUUUAUGUAAGAAAGGGGAAAUAAAAAAAAUACAUAUUUAUUAAUCUGCAAAUAAAAACACAGGAAGAAUACACUAAGGACAAAUGAGGCUGAUUAUCUACAUGGGGAGUGAGGGGUUGGGGUGAAAAGGAAAUUAACAAUUUGAAGAGUGGAGCUGCCACUUCUCUGAGUAUAUUGUUUUAUGGAGCUCUAAAAUACAGAACAAUAUUAACAUUUCACAUACAUAAAGAAAAAAGUAAAUACAAUUACCAAGGAUAUAGAAAAUAAUCCUUAAAAUAAAAUACAAUCAGAAGUAUUUGAACUAAAAUGCAUUUCAAAUGAAGUACUAUAUGGAAGGAAGAAGACUGGGGGAAAAAAUACACUAAUCCAGGUAAAAUUUUAUUAUUACUUAAAAAAAUGAGAUAUAAUUCACAUACAGUAAUAUGCAUCCUUAUAAAGCACACAAUUCAGUGGAUUUUUGUAUAUUCACAAAGUUGUGGAACCAACACUACAAUAUCCAAUUUCAGAACACAUCCAGUCCUUGAAGAAAUGUCACAUCCAUUAACAGGCACUCCCUAUUCCUCUCCCCCUCAGCCCUUCUCAGCCACUAAUCUACUUUUGAUCUCAAUGGAUUUACCUAUUCUAGACAUUUCAAAUAAACAGAACAGAACUCUAAUUCAUCCAUGUCACAAUAUGUAUCAAUACUUCAUUCUUUUUUGAUGGCUCAGUAAUAUGCCACUGCAUGUAUAUACCAUUUAUCCAGUCAUCAGGGGAUGGAUAUUUGGGUUCUUUCCUCUUUUUCUCUAUUAUGAAUAAUGCUCUCAUGAACAUUUGCAUUCAAUUUUCUUCCCUUUAAAUAUGUUUUCAAUUCUCUUGGGGGUACACAACUAUGAUUGGAAAUGUGGGGUCAUAUUAGACUCUUAUUAUGCCUAUAUUAACAUGCUUGAUAGUAUCCCCAUGGGUCUUCAAGAGUCUAUUAACUUUCAUUAUUUAUUUUCCCUCUGUUCCUCUAACUGGAUAAUCUCAAUUGAUCAAUUGUGAGCUUCAGUCAACCCUUCCUAACUGCUCAUAUGUACUGUUGAACCCUUCUGUUGACAUUUGUUUAAAUAAUGUAGUUUUCAAUUCAUAAACUUUUUUCUUUCUUCUUUGUAAUUUUAAUCUCAUUAUUGAUAUUCUCUAUUUGAUAAGAAUAGUUCUCAAACUUUCUCUUAGACUUUUAGAUAUUGUUUCCUUUUGUUCUUUGAACACACUUAAAAUAGCCUAUUUGAAGUUUUCCUCAAAUAAAUUCAAAGUUUGGGUCUAUUUGGGACAGUUUCUAUAGAUCGUUUUUUCUCCUUGUAUAUGAGCCAUACAUCGUGCAUGUGUUACAACAUUCUGUUGAAAACUAGGCAUUUUAAAUAGUAAUAUAUGUUGCAACUCUAGAAAUCAGAUAUUCUCUUCUCCUUAGGGUUUGUUGUUGCUAUUUUUUGUUGCUGUUUGUCUACUGACUUUUCUUAACUAUUUUUUGUGAAAUCUGUAUUCUUUGUUGUAUAUGGCCACUAAAGUCUCUACUUCAUUUGCUUACUGGUAUGCUAAUAACUGGACGAAGAUUCCCUUAAUGCCUGGAAUUGAUACUUCACUAACUUUGUUGAGAGCCCGUAUGUGUGUUGGGGUACACCUUCAACACUUGGCCAGGAAGUUGACAAUUCCACACUAGUCAUCACUUCCUGCUUAUGUAGAGCUCCCAAAGUCAACCAGAAGUGAGGGUUUAGGGCGUUCUCAGCACUUUCCUGAACGUGCACAUAAUCCUGUCAUUCACAUGGCUUUCUUAAUUCCAGGAAAUAUAUCAAAACUUAUCAAAGUUCCUAAGGACAGUGAAUUUUCCAGACUUCCUUUUAAGCUGUUUGAUUAACUUCU
ensembl:lncRNA